AGUUGUGCUACAAGACAGCUGAAUUAAAUGCCACUGACAGUGGAAUGCUACACUGGUUUAUUAUGAUUGGUGGACUACAUAGCAGAAACUGCUGACUAAAAUUUAGCGCUCUGAAUUCUCUCUACUUAAUCUCUAACUUUCUAAGAGUGAGGUGUCUGGAAUACGGGUUCUAUUGAGGCUCUUCAGUGACAUUUCAAAGGUCGCAAGAGGGUGUAUCUUAACAGUGCAAUAAGGAUAAUUCCAUUCUGAAGUCUCUGAGAAGGGAGGACAGGACACUGGAAGACUGAGCAGAUUAUUCUGAAUGAAAGAAGGGCUCUCUGUAAGUGGAAUGCAGAGUGGAAACGGAAGCAAAACAAGACUCCAACCCAGGAGCAGAAAGAGGGACUUCUGUGCAGCACCCACCUCACAUUGCCUGUUGUUCCAAUCUUUGGGCUAGAGAAUAUAACAAAGCUCCUUGGUACCAGAAGACAUUCGGGAUUAAAACUUUUCAGAAGCUCCAAAGUGACUAAGGAGCCUAAAUUGCAUUUUCAAACAUGACUUAGCUCCCAAGGGUCAGAUUUUUAAAGGUAUUUAGGCACCUAAAGAUGCAGAUAGGCACCUAAUGGGAUUUUCAGAAGCACAUAAGCAUCUAAUGUCCAUUGAUUUCAAUAAAACUUAGGUUCCUAAGCAAUUUUCGAAAAAUUUACCUGGAUCUGCAUGAACAUGGGAACCCUGCCUCUGCCCUACCCAAGGCACAUAUCCAUCAGAGCUCUCUGCACCAGAUCAAAUGUGAUUGGUGAGCAGACCAGCCAGUUUGUGUGGCUGCUUCUCCCAUAGCCCUUCCUUGGAGCCCUUCUUAGAGAAGGCCCUGCACUGGCUUUCUGCAUAUUGGGGAAAUUUCUCUUUACAUGCAUAUUAGACAUGCAUGUAAUAAUUAAAGAUAAAUACAACUAAACAACAACAAACAACUCAUGUUGCUUAUUGCUCAUGGUUCCAUAGUCCUACAGAUGGUUAGUGAUAAUUUUUCUUUUAACAUUUUUUACUCUUAAGAAAAACAACAAGGAGUUGUUUUUGUGGAUACAGACUAACAUAGCUACCCCUUAAAUCCCCAAAGGGG